rnacentral:rRNA from 1 species
UACGGGGGGGGCAAGCGUUGUUCGGAAUUACUGGGCGUAAAGGGCGCGUAGGCGGCCUACUAAGUCGGACGUGAAAUCCCUCGGCUCAACCGGGGAACUGCGUCCGAUACUGGUGGGCUCGAAUCCGGGAGAGGGAUGUGGAACUCCAGGUGUAGCGGUGAAAUGCGUAGAUAUCUGGAGGAACACCGGUGGCGAAGGCGGCAUCCUGGACCGGUAUUGACGCUGAUGCGCGAAAGCCAGGGGAGCAAACGGG